AUUGAACGCUGGCGGCAGGCCUAACACAUGCAAGUCGAACGAGUGGCGUACGGGUGAGUAAUGUCUGGGAAACUGCCAGCUUGAGGGGGAUAACUACUGGAAACGGUAGCUAAUACCGCAUACCAUCAGAUGUGCCCAGAUGGGAUUAGCUAGUUGGGGGGGUAACGGCUCACCAGGGCGACGAUCCCUAGCUGGUCUGAGAGGAUGACAAGCCAAACUGGAACUGAGAAACGGUCCAGACUCCUACGGGAGGCAGCAGUGGGGAAUAUUGUACAAGGGGCGCAAGCCUGAUGCAGCCAUGCCGCGUGUAGGAAGAAGGCCUUCGGGUUGUAAAGUACUUUCAGCGGGGAGGCGUUACCCGCAGAAGAAGCACCGGCUAACUCCGUGCCAGCAGCCGCGGUAAUUC
rnacentral:rRNA from 1 species